rfam:Candidatus Thiomargarita nelsonii contig_1204, whole genome shotgun sequence.
UAUAAGGCUUUUGUAAAAGCCAUCAAAGAGAGUAUUCAAAUUCCAA